rnacentral:rRNA from 1 species
CCUACGUGCGGCAGCAGUGAGGAAUAUUGGUCAAUGGCCGGAAGGCUGAACCAGCCAAGCCGCGUGAAGGACGAAGGUGCCAAGCAUUGUAAACUUCUUUUGUCAAGGGACAAAAUCAGGCUCGAGAGCCUGACCGAGGGUACUUGAAGAAAAAGCAUCGGCUAACUCCGUGCCAGCAGCCGCGGUAAUACGGGGGAUGCGCGCGUUAUCCGGAUUUAUUGGGGUUAAAGGGUGCGGUGGCGGAUUGUUAAGUCAGCGGUAAAAGCCCGGGGGUCAACCCCGGCGAGCCGUUGAAACUGGCUGUCUUGAGAGUUCGAGAGGUAUGCGGAAUGCGCAGUGUAGCGGUGAAAUGCUUAGAUAUUGGGAAGAACUCCGAUGGCGAAGGCAGCAUACCGGCGGCGAUCUGACGCUGAGGCACGAAAGCGUGGGUAUCGAACAGGAUUAGAUACCCUUGUAGUC